rnacentral:rRNA from 1 species
CCUACGGGAGGCAGCAGUGGGGAAUAUUGGACAAUGGGGGGAACCCUGAUCCAGCGACGCCGCGUGAGUGAAGAAGUAUUGCGGUAUGUAAAGCUCUAUCAGCAGGGAAGAAAAUGACGGUACCUGACUAAGAAGCCCCGGCGAACUACGUGCCAGCAGCCGCGGUAAUACGUAGGGGGCAAGCGUUAUCCGGAUUUACUGGGUGUAAAGGGAGCGUAGACGGUGCAGCAAGUCUGAUGUGAAAACCACGGGCUCCACCUGUGGCCUGCAUUUGAAACUGUGUUUCUUGAGUACUGGAGAGGCAGCCUGCAUUCCUCGUGUAGCGGUUACAUGCGUAGAUAUUAGGCGGCACCCCAGUGGCGCAGGCGGUCUGCUGGACAGCACCUGCCGCUGAGGCGCGACAGCGUGGGGAGCAAACAGGAUUAGAUACCCCAGUAGUC